GGACGAACGCUGGCGGCGUGCUUAACACAUGCAAGUCGAGCGGUAAGGCCCUUCGGGGUACGACGAGCGGCGAACGGGUGAGUAACACGUGGGUGACCUGCCUCUAGCUCUGGGAUAAGCCUGGGAAACUGGGUCUAAUACCGGAUAUGACUCCACGGCGCAUGUUGUGGGGUGGAAAGCCUUGUGUGGCUAGAGAUGGGCCCGCGGCCUAUCAGCUUGUUGGUGGGGUGAUGGCCACCAAGG
rnacentral:rRNA from 1 species